rnacentral:tRNA from 1 species
GGAGAGGUGUCCGAGAGGCCGAAGGAGCGCGCUUGGAAAGCGUGUGUACGGGUAAUCCCCGUACCGUGGGUUCGAAUCCCACCCUCUCCGCCU